AGUGAACGCUGGCGGUAGGCCUAACACAUGCAAGUCGAACGGCAGCACAGUAAGAGCUUGCUCUUACGGGUGGCGAGUGGCGGACGGGUGAGGAAUACAUCGGAAUCUACUUUUUCGUGGGGGAUAACGUAGGGAAACUUACGCUAAUACCGCAUACGACCUACGGGUGAAAGCAGGGGGUCUUCGGACCUUGCGCGAUUGAAUGAGCCGAUGUCGGAUUAGCUAGUUGGCGGGGUAAAGGCCCACCAAGGCGACGAUCCGUAGCUGGUCUGAGAGGAUGAUCAGCCACACUGGAACUGAGACACGGUCCAGACUCCUACGGGAGGAAGCAGUGGGGAAUAUUGGACAAUGGGCGCAAGCCUGAUCCAGCCAUACCGCGUGGGUGAAGAAGGCCUUCGGGUUGUAAAGCCCUUUUGUUGGGAAAGAAGAGCAGCAGGUUAAUACCCCGCUGUUCUGACGGUACCCAAAGAAUAAGCACCGGCUAACUUCGUG
rnacentral:rRNA from 1 species